GUGGGGAAUAUUGGGCAAUGGGCGCAAGCCUGACCCAGCAACGCCGCGUGAAGGAAGAAGGCUUUCGGGUUGUAAACUUCUUUUACCAGGGACGAAACAAAUGACGGUACCUGGUGAAUAAGCCACGGCUAACUACGUGCCAGCAGCCGCGGUAAUACGUAGGUGGCGAGCAUUAUCCGGAUUUAUUGGGUGUAAAGGGCGUGUAGGCGGGACAGCAAGUCAGAUGUGAAAACCAGAGGCUCAACCUCUGGCCUGCAUUUGAAACUGUUGUUCUUGAGUGUCGGAGAGGUAAUCGGAAUUCCGUGUGUAGCGGUGAAAUGCGUAGAUAUACGGAGGAACACCAGUGGCGAAGGCGGAUUACUGGACGAUAACUGACGCUGAGGCGCGAAAGCGUGGGGAGCAAACAGGAUUAGAAACCCUUGUAGUCC
rnacentral:rRNA from 1 species